rnacentral:rRNA from 1 species
CCUACGGGAGGCUGCAGUGGGGAAUAUUGGACAAUGGGGGGAACCCUGAUCCAGCCAUGCCGCGUGUGUGAAGAAGGCCCUCGGGUUGUAAAGCACUUUCAGUGAGGAAGAACGCCUGGUGGUUAAUACCCAUCAGGAAAGACAUCACUCACAGAAGAAGCACCGGCUAACUCCGUGCCAGCAGCCGCGGUAAUACGGAGGGUGCGAGCGUUAAUCGGAAUUACUGGGGCGUAAAGCGCGCGUAGGUGGCUUGAUAAGCCGGUUGUGAAAGCCCCGGGCUCAACCUGGGAACGGCAUCCGGAACUGUCAAGCUAGAGUGCAGGAGAGGAAGGUAGAAUUCCCGGUGUAGCGGUGAAAUGCGUAGAGAUCGGGAGGAAUACCAGUGGCGAAGGCGGCCUUCUGGACUGACACUGACACUGAGGUGCGAAAGCGUGGGUAGCAAACAGGAUUAGAUACCCGUGUAGUC